AUCUUCCUUGUCUUGGGGAGCAGAAAUGUCCAAUGAACGUCUAGUGAGGACAUUGCUGCUGACACCAAUGAUAUAACAAAAAACCCCCGUUCGCUGAUCUUCGAUCGGCGCUCGGAAUUUUUGGAAAUAGACUCCCUUACUUUAUAGGGGGUCGU
rnacentral:ncRNA from 11 species